GACAGAGGGUGCGAACGUUGCUCGGAAUUACUGGGCGUAAAGCGCGUGUAGGCGGGUGAUCAAGUCAGAUGUGAAAUCCCUGGCUCAACCCAGGAACUGCAUUUGAAACUGGUCGCCUUGAGUGUUUGGAGAGGGAAGCGGAAUUCCUGGUGUAGAGGUGAAAUUCGUAGAUAUCAGGAGGAACACCGGUGGCGAAGGCGGCUUCCUGGACAACUACUGACGCUGAGACGCGAAAGCGUGGGGGAGCAAACAGG
rnacentral:rRNA from 1 species